rnacentral:rRNA from 1 species
GAUGAACGCUGGCGGCGUGCUUAACACAUGCAAGUCGAACGGGAAUUACUUUAUUGAAACUUCGGUCGAUUUAAUUUAAUUCUAGUGGCGGACGGGUGAGUAACGCGUGGGUAACCUGCCUUAUACAGGGGGAUAACAGUCAGAAAUGGCUGCUAAUACCGCAUAAGCGCACAGAGCUGCAUGGCUCAGUGUGAAAAACUCCGGUGGUAUAAGAUGGACCCGCGUUGGAUUAGCUUGUUGGUGAGGUAACGGCCCACCAAGGCGACGAUCCAUAGCCGGCCUGAGAGGGUGAACCGCCACAUUGGGACUGAGACACGGCCCAGACUCCUACGGGAGGCAGCAGUGGGGAAUAUUGCACAAUGGGGGAAACCCUGAUGCAGCGACGCCGCGUGAAGGAAGAAGUAUCUCGGUAUGUAAACUUCUAUCAGCAGGGAAGAUAGUGACGGUACCUGACUAAGAAGCCCCGG